UACGAAGGGGGCUAGCGUUGCUCGGAAUUACUGGGCGUAAAGCGCACGUAGGCGGUCUUUUAAGUCGGGGGUGAAAUCCUGGAGCUCAACUCCAGAACUGCCUUCGAUACUGGAAGACUUGAGUCCGGGAGAGGUGAGUGGAACUGCGAAGUGUAGAGGUGAAAUUCGUAGAUAUUCGCAAAGAACACCAGUGGCGAAGGCGGCUCACUGGCCCGGUACUGACGCUGAGGUGCGAAAAGCGUGGGGGAGCAAACAGG
rnacentral:rRNA from 1 species